UACGGAGGAUGCGAGCGUUAUCCGGAUUUAUUGGGUUUAAAGGGUGCGUAGGCGGAUCGUUAAGUCAGUGGUCAAAUUGAGGGGCUCAACCCCUUCCCGCCAUUGAAACUGGCGAUCUUGAGUGGAAGAGAAGUAUGCGGAAUGCGUGGUGUAGCGGUGAAAUGCAUAGAUAUCACGCAGAACCCCGAUUGCGAAGGCAGCAUGCCGGCUUCCGACUGACGCUGAAGCACGAAAGCGUGGGGAGCGAACAGG
rnacentral:rRNA from 1 species